rnacentral:tRNA from 1 species
GCAGGAUGGUUCAGUGGUAGAAUUCUCACCUUCCACGUGGGUAACCCAGGUUCAAUUCCUGGCCGAUGCA